rnacentral:rRNA from 1 species
UACGGAGGAUGCGAGCGUUAUCCGGAUUUAUUGGGUUUAAAGGGUGCGUAGGCGGAAUAUCAAGUCAGCGGUAAAAAUUCGGGGCUCAACCCCGUCGUGCCGUUGAAACUGAUGUUCUUGAGUGGGCGAGAAGUAUGCGGAAUGCGUGGUGUAGCGGUGAAAUGCAUAGAUAUCACGCAGAACUCCAAUUGCGAAGGCAGCAUACCGGCGCCCAACUGACGCUGAAGCACGAAAGCGUGGGUAUCGAACAGG